rnacentral:rRNA from 1 species
UUAACAUCGAGUGUUAAAUAUGCUAGUCCUUUCAUGAUUAUGUGAUAGGUGGUGCAUGGCCGUUCUUAGUUCGUGGAGUGAUCUGUCUGCUUAAUUGCGUUUCACUAAGGGCCCAUAAAUUCAAGGUAUGUUAGCUCUCGUCGCUCUAUGGACCCCUUAACUCCAAUAUUCUUAUUGUGUUAAGCGCGUGUCUUUAUUUUAAGAGUUUUAAGACACUGCGCAUG